UUUUUGACUGGCACAUGGGUCACACAGCUGAGUACAGCAGGAUUUAACACAGGAGGCAAGGAUGAUCCCAGGUGGAAACUUGCCCCGGCUUCUGCUCAACAGCUCCCUGAUCAAUAUGACAGGCCAAAGGAGGGAAAGGAGGCAAAACAAAACAUGACCAUUUCAGACUCUGGCAACAAUAAAAAGGAAAACUUCGACUCCAGCAAGGAACACAGCAGCAAGCCGGCCUUCAAGACAGGUUCAGUGAAAAUGGACACAAGUUUUCCUGGUGGAAAGGCAGCCUGAGGAAAUACAGCAAGAUGGAACUACUUGUAAAUUCCGAGAAGAAAAUAUAUCCCUGUAUGUGACAGAGGCAACACAAGACGAUUAAUCUGGGCCCUUACGACUGGAAUGCAAAAGCUGGGCAGUAGAACUCGUUGAAUUGGGACUAAAAGUCAUCAGGCUGGGACAUGAUUGCUCCCAAGGGCCUUGUCUAGGGGUUGGAGAGAUUUAAGUUCAAGGCCUCAUUGGGUGGGUGGGGGUGGCAAAGAAGAUACAGCCUCUGGGCUGGGCUCAGGGGGCAGAAGAUUUGAUGCUGACGAGAGCAGCAUGACCACUCUGGGCCUCAGUUUCCCCUGUUUGUCAGUUUUGGGGAUUGGACUCUAGGGUCCCAAUCCAAUUCAACGCCAUUCAGUACUCGGCUUGUUUGUUUAUACACUGGAUCUGUGAUUUUUUUGGGGGGGUGGGGAAUUUCCGUAGAGUAAGCCUCUCAUUAGAACAGAUCUGUCUCUGUUCUACAGCUUAAAGCUGCUUAGAGCAAAUGACUUACUUGGGGUCACACAGCCACAACUUGAACCCAAGUCCUCCUGACUUCCGAGUCCAGCUCCCUACCCCGCCAUAUCCCCUGCCUGCCUCGGAUCAGCAACGUUUAGAUGCCAAGCACUCUGCUGGGGCCUGAGGAUACAA